UACGUAGGGUGCAAGCGUUGUCCGGAAUUAUUGGGCGUAAAGAGCUCGUAGGCGGUCUGUCGCGUCGGCUGUGAAAUCCCGGAGCUCAACUCCGGGUCUGCAGUCGAUACGGGCAGACUGGAGUUCGGCAGGGGAGACUGGAAUUCCUGGUGUAGCGGUGAAAUGCGCAGAUAUCAGGAGGAACACCGGUGGCGAAGGCAGGUCUCUGGGCCACUACUGACGCUGAGAAGCGAAAGCAUGGGGAGCGAACAGG
rnacentral:rRNA from 1 species